CCUACGGGUGACAGCAGUGGGGAAUAUUGGGCAAUGGGCGCAAGCCUGACCCAGCAACGCCGCGUGAAGGAAGAAGGCUUUCGGGUUGUAAACUUCUUUUCUCAGGGACGAAGCAAGUGACGGUACCUGCGGAAUAAGCCACGGCUAACUACGUGCCAGCAGCCGCGGUAAUACGGAGGUGGCAAUCGUUAUCCGGAUUUACUGGGUGUAAAGGGCGUGUAGGCGGGAAAGCAAGUCAGAUGUGAAAACCAUGGGCUCAACCUGUGGCCUGCAUUUGAAACUGGUUUUCUUGAGUACUGGAGAGGCAGACGGAAUGCGUAGUGUAGCGGUGAAAUGCGUAGAUAUUAGGAGGAACACCAGUGGCGAAGGCGGUCUGCUGGACAGCAACUGACGCUGAGGCGCGAAAGCGUGGGGAGCAAACAGGAUUAGAUACCCCAGUAGUC
rnacentral:rRNA from 1 species